rnacentral:rRNA from 1 species
AUUGAACGCUGGCGGCAUGCUUUACACAUGCAAGUCGAACGGCAGCACGGGGGCAACCCUGGUGGCGAGUGGCGAACGGGUGAGUAAUAUAUCGGAACAUAUCCGCAAGUGGGGGAUAACGUAGCGAAAGUUACGCUAAUACCGCAUAUUCCCUGAGGGGGAAAGGAGGGGAUCGCAAGACCUUUCGCUUACGGAGUGGCCGAUAUCAGAUUAGCUAGUUGGUGGGGUAAAGGCCCACCAAGGCGACGAUCUGUAGCUGGUCUGAGAGGACGACCAGCCACACUGGGACUGAGACACGGCCCAGACUCCUACGGGAGGCUG